AUUGUGUUGUUGUGUUUUGGCGCGGUGGCGCUCGCCGCCGAAAGAUCGCCGGAGGCGCAUGGACGUCAAGUUGUGUUGACCCAGCUCAUUCUGCCGAACGGACAAUAUCCAGGCCCGGCUAAAGUUAUCGAAGCAGCCGCCCCUCUGCCUGCAAGACAAGUCUCGUAUACUAUCCCCAGCUCAAACCUAAUUACGUUGACGGGUUCCAAUAUUACCCGGUUUUCCCGGGUCAGGCACCUGUGCCUUAUGGUGCAAGUCCCUUCGUCUACUACCAGCCUGGCGCUCCCUAUCCAGCUUAUGUUCGAGACGAACAAGGAAGUGGAGGAGGUGGAUGGAGUUCACUCUUCAGUAAUUUUCAAAAUUAUAUCCCCAGUUAUUUCCAACAAGGCUCAGGUGGAGCGCAAGGAGAAGAAGAACACAAUGAGGAGCAAGCAGAGGAGCAGGGAGACAAGCAGAAGCCCCAGAAAGUGCAACAACAAAUCCAGCAACAGCAGCUCCAGCAACAACAAUUCCAGCAACAACAAGAGCAACUCCAACAGCAACAGAUCCAACAAGUUCAGCAGCAGAUCAAGCUUCAACAAGAACAGCUCCAACAGCAGCAGCCUUCCCAGGUGUUCUACAACCAGCAACCGGCGCCUGAGAGCGUAGGCAACCAGAAGGACGGAGCUCCUGCCGGUUUGCAGAACCCGGCAGCGACCGCCCAGUUCCCACAGUUCCUGUACGGCGCUCAGCCCAGUUUUUCGGGCAGUACCCGUCGCAGAACCGCGUGAGCCAGGACCCUGACAAAUUGACCGCGGCCUCUCACGGUGCUGUCUCCAACUACUUAUUCCUUAAAAACCAGCAACAACCCGCAUUCCAGCACACGCAACAGCGGUACGAGAGUCCAGCAGCAGAAACCGCUCCACUGGCGGCCGGCGGUCGCGGGCGACCCGCAGCUGCGGCGGCCCCGGGGAAGAGACUCGAGCUGGAGAGAUAUUCGGCCGACGCCAAGAACCAAAGAUCUCCUCUUUACGCCCAGCACGUCUCUGCGUUGCAGGUUUCCGCCGACCCCGCCUCUAUCCAAGGUUGAUCAGCCACGUGCAGGCUGAGAACAACCUAUCACCCCAGCCCCAUGCGGUCGGCAACAAAUUCUCCCAGCCCCGCCCUGCAUCCGGCGACGUCCUACCCAGCGUGCCCAUCAUCCUUCCUCCGGCCCAAGACCCGGUCAACGUCUUCCCCGUCGAGUACCCGGGCGUCCAGCCGGUCGUCGCCCAUUUGGACAAGAACGGCGGGGCCCCCGUGAGUGGUGUCGUCGCCGGCUACCCGCUCGUCGUCCACAUCCCCGAGACGAACCAGCCGAUCGCCAUCUACCGCGGCCAGUUCCCGGCCUUCAUCGAGCGCAUCGUCCAGCGCAUCCAGAACCGCUACUCCGUCUACAACCCGCCCGAGUACUUCGAGAACCGCCCGCUCCCCGACGCCGAGCUCCAGCCCCCCGAACCGCCCCUCUGCGUCCAGGCGGCCGACACCGAGGGGCGCAACGAGACGCAAGAGGGCUACGCCUACGCCCCGCCCUGCCCCACCUCAACCACACCCACGACAACCACCCCUGAACCCCCGACCACCGGCUACGUCUACGAGGAUCCCAAACUCCCCGAAGACAACACCAACAUAACCGUUUUCAACGGCACCAUCAUUCUCAUCAAUUGCACGGACCUCCAUGAUCUCACCUCGACAAGCACCGAGAUUUACGUCACACCCCCUAAGGCGACGUCGAGUCCGCCUCCACCCCCACCGUCCAUCUACCUCCCACCAUCCACGGAGCCAUCGCCGUUUUACCUACCCCCCGAAACAACCACUACUACCACCACCACUACCACUACUUCGGCACCCCCCGAGACUCAAAAACCGUCAACCCCAGGCCCGGCAUACCUGCCUCCUGAGACGCCGAAACCCUCCACACUUCUUCCUCCGACCUAUCUGCCUCCGGAGAGCCCUAGGCCCCCCGCGUACAUACCGCCAGACCCGGCCCCGAUUUACCUGCCCCCUGAACACCCCGCCCCGUCGUAUCCGCCCCCCAAAACGACGACGGAGAGUUCUGUAGCGUACGUGAUCCAUACUGAAAAAGAGCCGGUAUCGUAUCCUGCGCCCCAUGUUAAUAUCAAUAUCAAUGGCUACCAGCAGGCGAAUCAGCUUCAACCUCUAUUCCCGUUUCCUUUGAGGUUGAUCCAGUUUAAGAAAAUGCUCUUGGCGAAGAUACUGCAUUUGAAUUGA
rnacentral:lncRNA from 1 species